UUGGAGGGCAAGUCUGGUGCCAGCAGCCGCGGUAAUUCCAGCUCCAAUAGCGUAUAUUAAAGUUGUUGCAGUUAAAAAGCUCGUAGUUGAAUUUCGGGAUUCUACCGUUGGUCGGGCUAACAAGUCUGUACUGGUGUGUAGAAUUUCUACCUUCUGGGGAACUAUCAUGUUAUUAAUUUAGCGUGGUGGGAAACCAGGACCUUUACCUUGAAAAAAUUAGAGUGUUCAAAGCAGGCUUACAGUCUGAAUACAUUAGCAUGGAAUAAUAGAAUAGGACGGUGGUCCUGUUUUGUUGGUUUCUGAAUCACCGUAAUGAUUAAUAGGGAUAGUUGGGGGCAUUAGUAUUCAAUUGUCAGAGGUGAAAUUCUUGGAUUUAUUGAAGACUAACUUCUGCGAAAGCAUUUGCCAAGGAUGUUUUCAUUAAUCAAGAACGAAAGUUAGGGGAUCGAAGACGAUCAGAUACCGUCGUAGUCUUAACCAUAAACUAUGCCGACUAGGGAUCGGACGAUGUUAAAUUUUAUUGACUCGUUCGGCGCCUUACGGGAAAC
rnacentral:rRNA from 1 species